rnacentral:rRNA from 1 species
AGCUCCAAUAGCGUAUAUUAAAGUUGCUGCAGUUAAAAAGCUCGUAGUUGGAUUUCUGGCUUGGCGCGCCUGGCCCGCCAGCGUUAGCUGUGUGAGUGCCGGUGCGUGCCUGCCAUCCUUCCAGAGACCAUUCCUACUCUUCACUGAGCCGGGAAUGCCAUCUGGAUCUUUUACUUUGAAAAAAUUAGAGUGUUUAAAGCAGGCUUUUGCUAUGAAUACAUUAGCAUGGAAUAAUAAUUUAGGACUUCGGUUCUAUUUUGUUGGUUUCUAGGACUGAAGUAAUGAUUGAUAGGGAUAGUUGGGGGUGCUAGUAUUCAGCGGCCAGAGGUGAAAUUCUCGGAUUCGCUGAAGACUAACUUAUGCGAAAGCAUUCACCAAGGAUGUCUUCU